AGCUCUGUGGUUUUCUCCAGACUCCCCUCUGCAAACUACAGAUAUUGAGAUUAAACAACUGCAGUUUGUCAAAGAUCAGCUGUGAUUCCCUGUGUUUGGCGCUGAAGUCCAACCCAUCCCAUCUGACAGAACUGAACCUGAGCUUAAACAGCCUGAAGGAGUCAGAUGUUCAGCAGCUGCAGGAUCUUGUAAAGAGUCCAGACUACAAACUGGAAUCUGUGAGGAUCUGGUGAUCUUAGUAGAGGAGAGAAGCUGAGCUGUCCUGAUGAUCCAGAGGUUGAAGCUGCAGCAGUUUGAGUUUAAAGAGACUCUGACUGGAUCCUGAUGAUGAACUCUGACCUUAGAGAUGU